rnacentral:rRNA from 1 species
AUUUAAAUUAUUAUUUAUUAUUUUAGGUUUAUUUUAUUUUAUUUAAAAUAUUAUAGUUUUUAUUAUAUUUAUAGAAAAAAUAUUUAUUUAUUAUAGUUAAUUAGUAUUGUGAAAGAAUUAAUUUAAAUAUUAAAAAGAAAAAUUAAUUUUUUGUACCUUGUGUAUCAGGGUUGAUUAAAUAUAAAUUUUAUAUAAAAUAUUCUCGAAUUUAAAAGAGCUAAUUUAUUAUAGUUUUUAUUGUAGAAUAAAUAUUAUUAAUAAUAAAUUAGAAAUGAAACGUUAUUCGUUUUUAAAUAUAUCUAGUUUUUUAAGAAAAAAAUUAAAUUUGUUAAUUAUUAAUUAUUAAUUUUUUUAUUUAAGUUAAUAUUAUUAAUUAGUUAUAUUUUAAGGGAUAAGCUUUAAAAUAAAAUUUUAUAAAUUUUUUUUAAAAUAAUUAAAUGUAGGAUUAUAAUUUUCUAUCAUUAAAAAAAUGUUAUAGUUUAUUAUGUCAAAAAAUAUUAUUUUUAUUUAUUUUAAUUUUUAUAUUAAAAAGUAUAUUUCAAUUUUAAAAAUUUAGUAAUAAUGAUUAAAUUAGUAUAAUUUUAUGUAUUUUUAUAUAAAAUAUUAAAGGUUUUUAAAAGGAAUUCGGCAAAUAUUUUUUUCACCUGUUUAUUAAAAACAUGUCCUUUUGAUAAUGAUUUAAGGUCUAGCCUGCCCAAUGAUUAAAUUAAAUGGCCGCGGUAUUAUGACCGUGCAAAGGUAGCAUAAUAAUUAGUUUUUUAAUUGAAAGCUGGUAUGAAGGGUUGAAUGAGAAAAAAACUGUCUCUUAAAAAUUUUAUUAGAAUUUUAUUUUUAAGUCAAAAAGCUUAAAUUAAAUUUAAAGACGAGAAGACCCUUUAGAGUUUUAUAUUUUAUUAAAAUUUUAAUUAUUUAGAAUUAAUUUAAUAAAAAGUUAAUAGAUUAUUUGAUUGGGGUGAUUAAAAAAUUUAAAUAACUUUUUUUUUAUGAAAACAUUAAUUUAUGAGUAUUUGAUCCAAUAUUAUUGAUUAUAAGAAUAAAUUACCUAAGGGAUAACAGCGUUAUUUUCUUUGAGAGUUCUUAUCGAAAGGAAAGAUUGCGACCUCGAUGUUGGAUUAAAAUUAAACUAUGGCGUAGAAGUUAUAGCUUUAGGUCUGUUCGACCUUUAAAAUUUUACAUGAUCUGAGUUUAAACCGGCGUGAGCCAGGUUGGUUUCUAUCUUAAAUUAAUGAUAAUAUUUUAGUACGAAAGGACCAAAUAUUGAAUUAAUAAUUUUUAUUUGAAUAUUAUU